rnacentral:rRNA from 1 species
GACGAACGCUGGCGGCGUGCCUAAUACAUGCAAGUAGAACGCUGAAGGAGGAGCUUGCUUCUCUGGAUGAGUUGCGAACGGGUGAGUAACGCGUAGGUAACCUGCCUGGUAGCGGGGGAUAACUAUUGGAAACGAUAGCUAAUACCGCAUAAUAGUAGAUGUUGCAUGACAUUUGCUUAAAAGGUGCAAUUGCAUCACUACCAGAUGGACCUGCGUUGUAUUAGCUAGUUGGUGGGGUAACGGCUCACCAAGGCGACGAUACAUAGCCGACCUGGGAGGGUGAUCGGCCACACUGGGACUGGGACACGGCCCAGACUCCUACGGGAGGCAGCAGUAGGGAAUCUUCGGCAAUGGACGGAAGUCUGACCGAGCAACGCCGCGGGAGUGAAGAAGGUUUUCGGAUCGUAAAGCUCUGUUGUAAGAGAAGAACGAGUGUGAGAGUGGAAAGUUCACACUGUGACGGUAUCUUACCAGAAAGGGACGGCUAACUACGUG